CGAUGCUGCAGCGAAUAUGGCGGCUUGCAUCUGAUAGAAAGUGAGGAAUCUCGCAUCAAAAUACCCGGUUUCACACGCAUCUGUUGGGGUGACUGCCUGUCUGACUUGACCUGAAGAAGCACCGUCAUCAUGGGCCGAACACCACACAGAGAUCAAAAGGAGGAGAAGAAGGAGAGACGGAGCAGCAUCACAGCAGGCUCUGCUCUUGACAAGUCUAAUGAACCAUUCAGCUGGGAGGAAUAUCUGAGAGAAACGUCCUCCAUUGCAGCAUCGCCUUCGUGCUUCAAGCAG